CACAUGGCAAUUCAAUGUAAAAACCAAUCAUAAUAAACAACCAUUUAAUCCAGAGAUAUAAACCUCCGCGAACCAGCCAAUUUCACCAGUGACGAUUGGAGUCAUCAGUCUGCUUUUUGAACAUCGCAAUCAUCUAGCAGAAUUCUAAGCGAGAAUUAUUUAUUGGGCAACAUCAAUGUUCAUACAGUUAACUGGGGAGUAUACCUCUGUUCCCAGUGGCUAACCUUGAUUAAGGGCAUUCUGAACCCUUUAGAAAUGAUCAUUUCUUUCACCAUCUCCUAGAAUCCUCUGCCUGCCCCUUCCUGCCAAGGCCUGAGUGCUGAGAAGGCUGUCUCCAUUUCUCCUCGCCUCCAUUCAGUAAGCGGUGGCUCAUCCCCUAAUGCAAUAAGGCCAUCUGAUGCUUGCAACUGGCUCUCUUCAUUUCAGCCUGGACCACAAAAUCUAAAGAAUAGGAGUGAUCACCAAGCCCCCUUGUCACCUCCUUUCCGGGAGACUGAAGCUGAUGGCAGAUGA
rnacentral:lncRNA from 1 species